GUGCCAGCAGCCGCGGUAAUACGUAGGCAGCAAGCGUUGUUCGGAGUUACUGGGCGUAAAGGGUGUGUAGGCGGUUCUCUAAGUUUGGUGUGAAAUCUCCCGGCUCAACCGGGAGGGUGCGCCGAAAACUGGAGGACUGGAGUGCGGGAGAGGAGAGUGGAAUUCCUGGUGUAGCGGUGAAAUGCGUAGAUAUCAGGAGGAACACCGGCGGUGUAGACGGCUCUCUGGACCGUAACUGACGCUGAGACACGAAAGCGUGGGGAGCAAACAGGAUUAGAUACCCCCGUAGUCC
rnacentral:rRNA from 1 species